rnacentral:tRNA from 1 species
GGUCCCAUGGUGUAAUGGUUAGCACUCUGGACUUUGAAUCCAGCGAUCCGAGUUCUCAAAUCUCGGUGGGACCU